GUCAGAUUGCUCUACACCUAAGAAGAACAAUACUGGAUUUUACAUACCAAUAAUCUUGACUUUUCAACAAGGGUACAAAAAAUGUCUGAAGAUAGGAGUUACACACCUGUGCCUGGCGAGCUUGCCAACAUUUUAAAUGAAACCACUUUUGGUGACGGGACACUCAGGAGACUGAAGAAGGAAAAUCAGCAACUGAAACAGAUUGCUGAAUGUCUCAGUUGUAAGAUUGAGCGCCCCAAGACUUCCGGUAAUGCUUGCAGGCUGCCGGACCUGCAAGCACAGUACGAAAUACUGGCAAGUCGAAAUGACGCACUCCAUGCGCAGCUUGAGUCGGUUCAUGAAGCGCUUCAUGAGACAGGGCGCGGAUACAUGGAAACGAGAGAUUCAGAGCAUUUGUUUGAAGUCGUCCAAAAAUCUCAUAGAAGAAAACUCCAAGAGCUUCUGAUAGACCUGAAGGAGGCAGAGCUGAUAGUUGAUGAGCAAACUGGAGAGAGGGACGACCUCCAUGAUAAAAUUAACUAUAUGCAUAGCCAACGUGAGAGAGCUUGUCAAGAAAUUGAGAACCUGAGCAGACAGAACAUGGAUUUGAUGAGAGAAAAUGCUCAGCUGAGAGAAAGGCUGGGUGAACCAGAACAGCAGGAGAACCAGGAUCCACAAUCAGUUCUGAGGAAAGUAGGUACGUGGGUAGGUACCGCUUUCAAGACUAUGUACCAGUUGGGAACACUCAGAUACUGGGUGCCACCAUGGAUCUUCUAAUUCCACUGGUUGGUCUGGAAAAACUGGUACUUUGCUCUAACUGGUUGUUCUUCAGUUACUGAUUGUUCUGGUUUAACUGGUUGUUGUUGAAAAUGUCCCCACAAGGAACAAUGGUCCCCAUAACCCCACAUUGUAGACAGAAAUAGGUUCCCAUAAGGAUAUAAAAACCUGAAACACAUUCACCUUUUGUCUCUGCUCACUGGAUGGUAUCUUCACAUAUAAAGGUCUCUGUGUGUCUUUGACGGAUCAGUCGGAGAACGUAUGGGCUGCACAGAGGCACAGUUGGUAGCACUGUUGCCU